rnacentral:piRNA from 1 species
CAUCUCCUGACCCUAUCUCUCUGCAG